rnacentral:rRNA from 1 species
GUAGUCAUAUGCUUGUCUCAAAGAUUAAGCCAUGCAUGUCUAAGUAUAAGCAAUUAUACCGUGAAACUGCGAAUGGCUCAUUAAAUCAGUUAUCGUUUAUUUGAUAGUACCUUACUACUUGGAUAACCGUGGUAAUUCUAGAGCUAAUACAUGCUAAAAACCCCAACUUCGGGAGGGGUGUAUUUAUUAGAUAAAAAACCAAUGCCCUUCGGGGCUCCUUGGUGAUUCAUAAUAACUUAACGGAUCGCAUGGCCUUGUGCCGGCGACGGUUCAUUCAAAUUUCUGCCCUAUCAACUUUCGAUGGUAAGGUAUUGGCUUACCAUGGUUUCAACGGGUAACGGGGAAAU